rnacentral:rRNA from 1 species
GUUUGAUCAUGGCUCAGAACGUACGCUGGCGGCACGCCUAACACAUGCAAGUCGAACGAAGUAGCAAUACUUAGUGGCAGACGGGUGAGUAACAUGUAGGUAUCUGCCCUUUGGCCUGGAAUAACACGAGGAAACUUGUGCUAAUACCGGAUAAGUCUUUACGGAGAAAGCUUUAUGCACCAUUGGAUGAGCCUGCACUUGAUUAGUUUGUUGGUGGGGUAAUGGCCUACCAAGACUGUGAUCAAUAGCUGAUUUGAGAGGAUGAUCAGCCACAUUGGGACUGAGACACGGCCCAAACUCCUACGGGAGGCAGCAGUGGGGAAUCUUGCACAAUGGAGGAAACUCUGAUGCAGCGAUGCCGCGUGAGUGAAGAAGGCCUUUGGGUUGUAAAGCUCUUUCGUCGGGGAAGAAAAUGACUGUACCCGAAUAAGAAGGUCCGGCUAACUUCGUGCCAGCAGCCGCGGUAAUACGAAGGGACCUAGCGUAGUUCGGAAUUACUGGGCUUAAAGAGUUCGUAGGUGGUUGAAAAAGUUAGUGGUGAAAUCCCAGAGCUUAACUCUGGAACUGCCAUUAAAACUUUUCAGCUAGAGUAUGAUAGAGGAAAGCAGAAUUUCUAGUGUAGAGGUGAAAUUCGUAGAUAUUAGAAAGAAUACCAAUUGCGAAGGCAGCUUUCUGGAUCAUUACUGACACUGAGGAACGAAAGCAUGGGUAGCGAAGAGGAUUAGAUACCCUCGUAGUCCAUGCCGUAAACGAUGUGUGUUAGACGUUGGAAAUUUAUUUUCAGUGUCGCAGGGAAACCGAUAAACACACCGCCUGGGGAGUACGACCGCAAGGUUAAAACUCAAAUGAAUUGACGGGGACCCGCACAAGUAGUGGAGCAUGUGGUUUAAUUCGAAGAUACGCGCAGAACCUUACCAACACUUGACAUGUUCGUCGCGACUCUAAGAGAUUAGAGUUUUCGGUUCGGCCGGACGAAACACAGGUGCUGCAUGGCUGUCGUCAGCUCGUGUCGUGAGAUGUUGGGUUAAGUCCCGCAACGAGCGCAACCCUCACUUUUAGUUGCCAUCAUUAAGUUGGGCACUCUGAAAGAACUGCCAGUGAUAAGCUGGAGGAAGGUGGGGAUGACGUCAAGUCCUCAUGGCCCUUACGUGUUGGGCUACACACGUGCUACAAUGGUAUCUACAACAGGAAGCAAGACUGCGAAGUUAAGCAAAUCCCUAAAAGAUACCUCAGUUCGGAUUGCACUCUGCAACUCGAGUGCAUGAAGCUGGAAUUACUAGUAAUCGUGGAUCAGCGUGCCACGGUGAAUGCGUUCCCGGGUCUUGUACACACCGCCCGUCACACCAUGGGAGUUGGUUCUACCUUAAGGCAAGGUUUCAAACCCUUGACCACGGUAUAGUCAGCGACUGGGGUGAAGUCGUAACAAGGUAGCCGUA